UCAAGGUUAUGCCUAUAGAGGACCGGGGUUAACAGGUUCUCCUGCGAACCCACAAUAUCUUCCUUCGCAGCAGAAUGCUAACAUGAGACCGCCUCAAUCACAGGGGUUUGCCGGUUCAGUUGGGAACCAGCAAUAUAUACCUUCCCAGCAGAGUGCUAACAUGAGACCACCUCAAUCACAGGGGUUUGCAAGUUCUGUUGGGAACCAGCAAUAUCUACCUUCCCAGCAGAGUGCUAACAUGAGACCACCUCAAUCACAGGGGUUCCCAGGUUUUGUUGCAAACCAGCAAUAUCCACCUUCCCAGCAGAGUCCUACCAUGAGACUACCUCAAUCACAGGGGUUCCCGGGUUCUGUUGCAAACCAGCAAUAUCCAUCUUCCCAGCAGAGUCCUAUCAUGAGACCAC
rnacentral:lncRNA from 1 species